GAAGUCCGGAGCCAAGGCUGGCUUUUUUCAGCUUUAACUCCGCCAAGUGGCUGCGAACCUCGGCCGUUUACUCCUCCGGACCUCAGCGUGCUCAUCUGUAACGCCGGACUCCAGAUAUUUACGACCCGCCUUCCCGGCUCAGGGGCGCCGGGGGAAGAGGGGUCCAACCCUCCGAAGGGCGAGCAAGCAGGGAAGAGGAGGGGUGACAGGUCAACGGUCUCUUCACCCACUCCUCAACAACUCCCUGACGAGAAGGCGACAAGGGCACCCUGCGACGGCAAUACUCACUGCCGCACAACGGUCAGCGCGAAGCGGGUCAUCUUCCGGGCGCCCGGAGGGAGGGGAAGUGAUGGCCCCGGCGCAGCUCGCGUGCCCAGCACCCUCCGGCGCGAGGCUUCUCCGCACUGCAGGACACCUCGCCCACACCACUUCCGCCAAACCUGCCGGCCGGCCGGCUCCGCCACCAUAGGCCGAGGCGGCCGUCUACGUCAUUCCAGGAGCGCCAAUCAGGGCGGCGAGAGGCCGACAGGGCGGCGGAGAAUGGUAAGCAACGAGGCCCCGCCCAGGGCCGUGGCGCUUGCGCCCCUGCGCGCAGGCCUGUGAUUGGCGCGCGGCAGGUGCUUGCGGGGCCAGCCCUGGAGUCCGCAGUGGAGGCGGUUCUUGCCCGGGCAAGUUUGGAUCCUGGAGACUCCGGAUAGAAGGAGAAUAAGAAGUUGAAUCUAGCCAGUUCUUAUGGGACGCCCCUCCACUACAGAGGUCCUUCAGGAGCUGUUGAAGUCUUCCCCUCCAGCGGCCUGAAACCGGAAAGAAAGUUCUGGAAAAAUCCUACAGGGAAGGCUGGGACAUUUGGCAGUCACUUCUACUGGACAUCAGAGCCAAGGGCCUUCAAGAUAUGAAGUGUCACAUUUAUAGAAGUUCCAGCCAAAAGCACGUGUAUAGGCUUUCCCGAAUAAACUGAAGGAAGUUUUCGUAUAAAACA